UCUAAUUACUCCAAGCCUUUAACCAACACCAGUAAUAAAACAUCUAAUGGGAACAAUGCAACCAAUUCCCAAGAUAAGGGCAAGGGGAAGCUGUAUAUGAUGUCGACUAGAGAACAAGAGGCUCGAAGGGAUGUUGUCUCGGGUCCCAAUUUCAUAAGCGGAACGUUCGAUUAAGACAGCGAAAAUUCUCCGUUACAAGACUAGGUGUGCUGGUGCUGCUGCAUAAUCUCGAGCAUACGAGGACUAGGCUUGGGUAUUUACAUUUAAAGCAUUUUGAAACAAGUAUUAUUGGUUUUUCUAAGACUUAUAUAAAUGGUUUGUGGUUUGAAUGAAAGGGGUCAUUGAUGAUUCCCGAGUUGUAUUUAUAUUUUAAUUCCGCUGCAUUUUAGUUUUCAAGUUAAUGUUUCAAGUUA